rnacentral:lncRNA from 1 species
GUACCGGAAGUGCUAGCCACAGCGACUUCAGGUAGUCUCGGUCUUAGCGGAUUCCGCGGACUUUCUUGUCUUUCUGCGUACUGCACUAACUGAGCGACCAAUUGAUACCUAAGUUUAGCUGAACUUUUUGUUGAAUUAAUUAAAACUGUUUUGAAAUCUAUUCUGUAAGAGCCUGAGAAAAAUUGCGGCCACAGAAGCUGUUUUGAAAUGCGCUUGGCUUCCGACUUCCGCAAGGGGAGGCAGCUGUUUCUUGUAGUCUUGCUCUGUCACCUACACUGGAAUUCAGUGGCACAGUCUCAGCUCAGCUCACUGCAACCUCCACCUCCCGGGUUCAAGUGAUUCUCAUACCUCAGCCUCCUGAGUAGCUGGGAUUACAGAGACCUGGACUUAAUCUCAGCUGGUGUACAGAGUUCUCUCCAAAAACAAGUGGCCUACUUCACAUUCAGUGAAUUGAUAUAUUCUUAUUUUAAGUUAUCAGCGUCUCACUCUGUUGCCCAGGCUGGAGUGCAGUGGCACAAUCUCAGCUCACUGCAACCUCCACCUCCCAGGUUCAAGCGAUUCUCCAGCCUCAGCCUCUUGAGUACCUGGGAUUACAGACAUGUAUAAUGAAGAUCACUAUGACAGAGAGGAGAAAGAGAAAGGAAAGGAUGACCAGAGAAAUGACCAAAUAUUUAGUGGAUGGAUUUACCUUUCUAGAAUGCUUGGUUGGAUCCUGGAACUGCAGGAAAAAAAGUCCUUGGGAAUUGAGAAGCCAAUGAGAUUAGUCGUUCAAGCUGAAGUCAUUCUAUCUGCUAGCUGUCUGGAGCCACUGAAGCUGUGGGCGAACAGCAACAAGUUUAAGCUACAUCUGCACACUCUGCGGUCCAUCCAGAGACCAAGAAAGAAGCACAAGGAUCCUGCAGAGUCUUCCGAAGCCCAAGCCAAAUAUAUGAGGCAGGGAGCUAGAGAAUGUGGAGGAAGUGGUCAGUAGGAAAAGGAAUGGGAACAGACAUUCUCCUUCAGAAACUUGAGGUCCAGUCCCUGAACUUUAGCUGGCCCCAAAACUUGAGCAAGCUCUAAAAAGCAGAACAUCUCCCACUUAACAGUUUAUUCUGAGAACUGGCCAACCACAGGAGGGAAAAUCAUAUCUCCAGUUAAAGUGCCCUGAUCAUGCCAUCUGCUCAUCCUACCCCCUUUGCCCUGCUCCCACACAAAGUUCCUGCUAGCCCUGUUUACGUCUUCUUUUUUAAACUCUUUUUUUAAAAUUUGAUUUUUAGACAUUUGAAGAUUUCCAUGGUCAGAGGGUCUGUAAUAGUCUUUUUUGAAUAAAGCUGCUCCUUACCUAAAUCCAGAUUUGUUUUCAUUGAAUAUAAUAAUAAAUGACCAUAUU